rnacentral:rRNA from 1 species
UACAGAGGGUGCAAGCGUUGUUCGGAAUUAUUGGGCGUAAAGCGCGUGUAGGCGGCUUUGCAAGUCGGGGUGUGAAAGCCCUCAGCUUAACUGAGGAAGUGCGCCCGAAACUGCAGAGCUUGAGUACCGGAGAGGGUGGCGGAAUUCCCCAAGUAGAGGUGAAAGUUCGUAGAUAUGGGGAGGAACACCGGUGGGCGAAGGCGGCCACCUGGACGGAUACUGACGCUGAGACGCGAAAGCGUGGGUAGCAAACAGG